CAAGACGAAUUUAUGAAAUUUUCUUUGAGUUCUUUUUAUGUCAAAUAUUGUUGAACUCUUUUAUCAGAUGUCAAUAAAUGAAGUGCAUAAGGCAAAAACAUCGUAGGAGCAUGCAAAGAGAUUUACCAAAUUUAAAGAAAGAAGAUGACUUAUUGAGAAAGUAUGUGGUACGUAUAUUGAAAGAAAUACUUUGUUUUCUUUAGUUGGUUAUUAAAUAAACUUGAUCUUUUUUUUCCAUUUCUAAAUAUUUUAUCUUAAUGUUUUCCUAAGGUGAGGACAGAUGGAUCACUUUCUUUCUUUGAUGGGGAAGAAAAUCAUAAUGUGAAGCUUAUUCAUAAUAUUUUUGUUGACCUACUCAUUUUAUAACUUCCAUCUUGGAUAUUGUGUCAGGUAUUUCAUUUUUCUUAUGACAAUCUUGGAUAUUAUCAGUUUACCUGUUACAUAAGUUGUAUCUAUUUUAAUCUCAUUUUGCAAUAUGUAUAUAGAUUGUUCAAUAGUCAACGAAUUAAUAUGGAUUUUAUUUAAGUUUUGUGUAUGCUGGAAAGUACACAAAUUCCAACUACAAAACUACUAGAUGUAGGCUUUUGGAACUUCAGCUGAUAAACUUAGAGAUUAUAUCUCCCUUUUGCACUAUUUUCUUGUGGUUCAUCAAAGGUAUUUUGUUCUUAGUGUUCUUUUGUUCCUCCUUUGAUUUAAAAUAUCCAUGGAUCGGAUAACAAAUUUGAUAUCAACAAAAACAAUCUUUUGAAAAAUUUGAUACCAAUAUUUUCUUGUGAAGCUUCUUCAUGAUAUUUUGUUGUUGUAGCAAUGAAAUCUUCUUAAUGGUAUUUUGUUGUGAGACGAUUUUAAUGGAACGCAUAACAAUAGGCAGUCCGGUCAAAUUUUACGUUAUUUGAAAUGAAUAGUUGGUAUGAGAUUGGCUUGUGUUUACUCAUUUAAUGCUAUGUUUAUGAAAAAUAAUGUAGGGAGUAAGAGAGGUUUUGGCGAUGUUGAAGAUGAUGAGGACGACUUCUUUAGCUCCAAAAUUUUCUAGUUUUUGUUUUGAGAACAACUGAUUUGCUAGUUUAAUCCUCACAAAUGGAUUUCUUCAUUUGAAUGAGGUGAUUUUUCACCUGGAGUUUUUCCAUGAAAGGUAAGAUUUUUUGGUUGAGGUAUUGAAAAAUUGUUUUUUAAGAGAUUUGAUCUUGCGUAAUUGUUUAUCUUUCUACCGUAUUAAAAGAGAAUGUAAAUAAACUAUAAAGGGCAUAUAAAUAGCUCUUUUUUGUUUGGUGUAUAUGGCUGAACUUAUGAAUAAGAGCAAGUUGAAAUCAUAGUUUUGAUAGAAAAUAUAUGGAUUGUUUGGUACAAAGAUGCAUUGAUCAAUGAGUUUAUAAUAUUUGUCAGAUUUUUGAAUGUUUGAGUUGAGUUGACUCAUAUUCUAUUGUUGUUUAUUUUUCUAAAAGGUAUUGCUCGAGUGCCAAACGUAUAUUUAGUGAAACUCAAUGAAAAAACC
rnacentral:lncRNA from 1 species